GACGAACGCUGGCGGCGUGCUUAACACAUGCAAGUCGAACGGAAAGGCCCUGCUUUUGUGGGGUGCUCGAGUGGCGAACGGGUGAGUAACACGUGAGUAACCUACCCUUGACUUUGGGAUAACUUCAGGAAACUGGGGCUAAUACCGGAUAGGAGCUCCUGCUGCAGGGUGGGGGUUGGAUAGUUUCGGCGGUUGGUGAUGGACUCGCGGCUCAUCAGCUUGUUGGUGGGGUAGUGGAUUACCAAGGCUUUGACGGGUAGCCGGCCUGAGAGGGUGACCGGCCACACUGGGACUGAGAUACGGCACAGACUAGUACGGGAGGCAGAAGUGGGGAAGAGUGCACAAGGGGCGGAAGCAUGAUGCAGCAACGCCGCGCGGGGGAUGACGGCCUUCGGGUAGUAAACCGCAUCUGCCUGUGACGAAGCGUGAGUGACGGUAACGGGUAAAGAAGCACCGGCUAACUACGUG
rnacentral:rRNA from 1 species